GCGAGUAUGGUUUAGUGGCAGAACGUUUGCUUCCCAAGCAAGAGACGCGGGUUCGAUUCCCGCUACUCGCA
rnacentral:tRNA from 1 species